CCCCCCUCUAAUCAGUGAAACUGAUCUCCCCGUGAAGAAGCGGGGAUAUACAUAUAAGACGAGAAGACCCCAUGGAGCUUUAAACCUGACAGCACCCGCUCAUUCUAUACCCCAUUAUUUGCCCGACCCCUGUCUGCUCAGUUUUAGGUUGGGGUGACCACGGAGUAUAAAAUAACCUCCAUGAAGAAGGGGAUAUUUCCCUUAUUAGAGAACCACACUUCCAAGAACUAAUAAAUUAAUUUUCAAUGACCCGAUACCUGAUAAUCGAUCAACGAACCAAGUUACCCUGGGGAUAACAGCGCAAUCCACCCUGAAAGCCCUUAUUAACAGGUGGGUUUACGACCUCGAUGUUGGAUCAGGGUAUCCCAGUGGUGCAGCAGCUACUGAGGGUUCGUUUGUUCAACGAUUAA
rnacentral:rRNA from 1 species